rnacentral:rRNA from 1 species
AUACGGAGGAUCCGAGCGUUAUCCGGAUUUAUUGGGUUUAAAGGGAGCGUAGGCUGUUCGACAAGUCAGGGGUGAAAGCCCAGUGCCUAACACUGGAACUGCCUUUGAUACUGCCGAGCUGGAAUACGGAUGCCGUGGGAGGAAUGAGUAGUGUAGCGGUGAAAUGCAUAGAUAUUACUCAGAACACCGAUUGCGAAGGCAUCUCACGAAUCCGUCAUUGACGCUGAGGCACGAAAGCGUGGGGAUCAAACAGGAUUAGAUACCCUGGUAGUCCACGCAGUAAACGAUGAUAACUAACCGUCGGCGAUACACAGUCGGUGGCCAAGCGAAAGCGAUAAGUUAUCCACCUGGGGAGUACGUUCGCAAGAAUGAAACUCAAAGGAAUUGACGGGG